rnacentral:rRNA from 1 species
UACAGAGGGUGCGAGCGUUAAUCGGAAUUACUGGGCGUAAAGGGCGCGUAGGUGGUUUAUUAAGAUGGAUGUGAAAUCCCUGGGCUUAACCUAGGAACUGCAUCGAUGACUGAUAAGCUAGAGUACUGUAGAGGGUAGUGGAAUUUCCGGUGUAGCGGUGAAAUGCGUAGAGAUCGGAAGGAACACCAGUGGCGAAGGCGGUUCUCUGGGCAUGUCCUGACGCUGAGGAGCGAAAGUGUGGGGAGCGAACAGG